rnacentral:rRNA from 1 species
ACGGGAGGCAGCAGUGGGGAAUAUUGGGCAAUGGGCGAAAGCCUGACCCAGCAACGCCGCGUGAAGGAAGAAGGCCUUCGGGUUGUAAACUUCUUUUACCAGGGACGAAGGACGUGACGGUACCUGGAGAAAAAGCAACGGCUAACUACGUGCCAGCAGCCGCGGUAAUACGUAGGUUGCAAGCGUUGUCCGGAUUUACUGGGUGUAAAGGGCGCGUAGGCGGGGAUGCAAGUCAGAUGUGAAAUCCAUGGGCUUAACUCAUGAACUGCAUUUGAAACUGUAUCUCUUGAGUGUCGGAGAGGUAGAUGGAAUUCCUAGUGUAGCGGUGAAAUGCGUAGAUAUUAGGAGGAACACCAGUGGCGAAGGCGAUCUACUGGACGAUAACUGACGCUGAGGCGCGAAAGCGUGGGGAGCAAACAGGAUUAGAUACCCUGGUA